AAUCAACGCUGGCGGCGUGCCUAACACAUGCAAGUCGAACGCGAAAGCCCCGCAAGGGGCAAGUAGAGUGGCAAACGGGUGAGUAACACGUGGGUGACCUGCCUUCGAGCGGGGGAUAACGUCCCGAAAGGGACGCUAAUACCGCAUAACAUCCUGCCUUUGAAGAGGCGGAGAUCAAAGCUGGGGAUCGCAAGACCUGGCACUUGAAGAGGGGCCCGCGUCUGAUUAGCAGUUGGUGGGGUAAUGGCCUACCAAGGCAACGAUCAGUAUCCGGCCUGAGAGGGCGGACGGACACACUGGGACUGAGACACGGCCCAGACUCCUACGGGAGGCAGCAGUGGGGAAUUGUUCGCAAUGGGCGCAAGCCUGACGACGCAACGCCGCGUGGAGGAUGAAGA
rnacentral:rRNA from 1 species